rnacentral:rRNA from 1 species
UUGACCUCGGAUCAGGUAGGGAUACCCGCUGAACUUAAGCAUAUCAAUAAAACGGAAGAAA